rnacentral:rRNA from 1 species
CGGGGAAUAUUGCACAAUGGGCGAAAGCCUGAUGCAGCAACGCCGCGUGGGGGACGAAGGCUCUCGGGUCGUAAACCCCUUUCAGCAGGGACGAUUGUGACGGUACCUGCAGAAGAAGCCCCGGCCAACUACGUGCCAGCAGCCGCGGUAACACGUAGGGGGCAAGCGUUGUCCGGAUUUAUUGGGCGUAAAGAGCUCGUAGGCGGCUUGGUAAGUCGGGUGUGAAAUCCCCGGGCUCAACCCGGGGCGGCCAUCCGAUACUGCUAUGGCUAGAGUCCGGUAGGGGAGCGUGGAAUUCCUGGUGUAGCGGUGAAAUGCGCAGAUAUCAGGAGGAACACCAGCGGCGAAGGCGGCGCUCUGGGCCGGAACUGACGCUGAGGAGCGAAAGCGUGGGGAGCAAACAGG